GAUGAACGCUGGCGGCGUGCCUAAUACAUGCAAGUCGAGCGAACGGACGAGAAGCUUGCUUCUCUGAUGUUAGCGGCGGACGGGUGAGUAACACGUGGAUAACCUACCUAUAAGACUGGGAUAACUUCGGGAAACCGGAGCUAAUACCGGAUAAUAUUUUGAACCGCAUGGUUCAAAAGUGAAAGACGAUCUUGCUGUCACUUAUAGAUGGAUCCGCGCUGCAUUAGCUAGUUGGUAAGGUAACGGCUUACCAAGGCAACGAUGCAUAGCCGACCUGAGAGGGGGAGCGGAGAAAAAGGAAAUGAGACCCGGUCCAGAACCGAACGGGGGGCAGAAGGAGGGAAGGUGAGGAAAGGGGGGAAAUCAUAAAACACCAACGCGGGGGAGGUAAAGAAGUGUUUGGAACAGUAAAACGCUUUUAGGAGAAAAAAAAGAAUGUGUAAGAAAAGGUGCACACUUGGACGGUACAAAAGCAGAAAGCCCCGACUAACUAGGU
rnacentral:rRNA from 1 species